rnacentral:rRNA from 1 species
AGAUUGAACGCUGGCGGCAGGCCUAACACAUGCAAGUCGAGCGGUAGAGAGGUGCUUGCAUCUCUUGAGAGCGGCGGACGGGUGAGUAAUGCCUAGGAAUCUGCCUAGUGGUGGGGGAUAACGUUCGGAAACGGACGCUAAUACCGCAUACGUCCUACGGGAGAAAGGCGGGGGACCUUCGGGCCUCGCGCCAUUAGAUGAGCCUAGGUCGGAUUAGCUAGUUGGUGAGGUAAUGGCUCACCAAGGCGACGAUCCGUAACUGGUCUGAGAGGAUGAUCAGUCACACUGGAACUGAGACACGGU